AUAUUUGGAAAUCAUUUUGGGUCUCUUGUGGAUCCAGAUAAAUUGUACGAUUUUUUCUCUAUUUGUGGAAAAAUGUGAUUGUGAUUUUGAUGGGAAUUAUACUGAAUCAGUAGAUAACUUCAGGUAUUGUGGGUAUUUUGACAAUAUUAAUUAGUCCCGGUGGUGGUGUUGAGGCGGUGUUGACCUGGGGGCAUUGGGGUGAGUGAUAGUGCCGUCAAGUUGGCUGCAUGAUGGGACUUUGGCUGGGAGGUCAGUGCAUAAAAAUCCUGUGGAUGUGAUCAAGGCAAGGGUGAUGGAAGGUGAUGUGUCCUGUCUGCUUGGUCCUUGUAGGGAUCAUCCUGUAAUAAAAGGAGGCAUUACCUUCGGAUGUCCCGAGGGCAUGGUGCAGGCACCAGGACUGAGUGGAGGGGAAGAAGCUCAUGUCUUGAGGUCCCUUGGCUACAUGGGGAAGACUGCCCCUGGGCUUGAUGCCAAGUUUCAGACUGACGUGCUGGCUGUUGUGAUGGCGCUCCCCAGUGCUAGUUGUGGUUGGUUUUCGACUAGGUACACCUCGCCUGGGAGAGUGGCCAGAGACAAUGUCAGUUCCAGACAUCAGCAGCCCCAGGAGGAGGAGCGUGUGCUCGCACCAGGAGUGGUGGCUGUUAGGUGAGGGACCUCAGACCUAUGUCUGCAUGGCCUGACGUCAGAGAUCACAUCCUACUGAUUGAAGACCUUGUUCUUGAGCUGUCCGGUUGUUUCAGGGUCAGACCUGGAGGCUGCAGGCUAUGAUGGCCCUUUGCAGUGUUCUGAAACAUAUGUGCACCCCAGGGAGGGACACACACACACACACGCACACAGUGAAACUCACAACACACAGAAAAUGACACACACACGCAGUCACACACACACAAUGAAACAACACACACAAAAUGACACACACACGCACGAGCCCACAGAAAAAGGCAAAUAGACACAGAAACAGGCGUGUGCAGUAGUUCUGGCCACACAUACUCCCUAGGUGUCCACAGAAUGACAUGGGUAAGGUAUAUUCAUAAAGUUGGAGAUCAGUCAUGGAGGCCAAGGACAAGCAGGUGCACUAGUUGACCCACGGGAGCGAAUGGCAUGAAAGUGGUGAGCAUUGUACCUGGGCCUGUUUCUCAAGUGUGUAUUUGAUUUCUUUACAAUUCCCUGGAGAAGUUGCUGUGGGAGCCCCACCGCCUGCUGGCAAGGAAGAUGGUUGAUUCUUCUGAGCAAUGGAGGCCCUGCAGAGUCCUGCAGUCACUGUGACCUGGCGUCCAUGGCGCACUCAAUGCUGGUGGAUGGCUCAAUAUGAGGCAAUUGCUGUGGGAGGCGUGGCGUAACUGCUUUAAGGAAGACACUCAAUUUUUCUGAGCAACGAAGGCCACAUGGAGUCCUGGAUUUUGUGUGGCCUGGCAUCCACGGUGCACCGCGUGCUGGCGGGUGACUCAGGACGGGACAGUUAUCAUGGGACACCUGCCAUAUGCUGGCAAUGAACAUGGUCAGCUCUUCUGAGCCACAGAGGCCCCGGAAGUCCUGGAGUUGGUGUGGCUUAGCAUCCACGGUGCGCCCCCUGCUGGUGGAUGGCUCAGGACGGGGCAGUUGCCAUGGGAGGCCCGCUGCCUGCUGGAAGGAAGAUGGUCAAUUCUUUUGAGCCACAAAGGCCCUGCAGGGUCCUGGAGUCAGUGUGGUCUGGCUUCCUGGGUGCACCUCGUGCUGGUGGAUCGCUCAGGACGGGACAGUUGCCGUGGGACAGUUGCCGUGGGAGGUCUGCUGACUGCUGUCAGGGCAGAUGGUCGAUGCUUCUGAGCAACAUAGGCCCACAUGGAUUCCGUGUGGCCUGGCAUCCACUGUGCACCCUGUGCUGGCGGGUGGCUCAGGAUGGAGCAGUUGCCUUGUGAUGCCCACUGCCUGCUGGCACAGCAGAUGGUCAGUUCUUCUGAGCAGUGGAGUCCCCACUGAGUCGUGGAAUCGGUGUGGCCUGGCAUCCACGGUGCACCCUGUGCUGGUGGAUGGCUCAGGACGCAGCAUUUUGUCAUGAGAGGUCUACCGCUUGCUGGCAAGGAAGAUGGUCAAUUCUUCUGACCAACGGAGGCUGCCUUGAGUCGUUGAUUUGGUGUGGCCUGGCAUCUUUGGUGCACCCCAUGCUGGGGCAGUUGCCGUGGAAGGCCCGCAGCCUGCUGCAAGGAAGAUGGUUUAUGCUUUGAGCAACAAAGGCCCCAUGGAGUCGUGGAGUUGGUGUGGCCUGGCAUCCACGGUGCACCCCGUGCUGGUGGAUGGCUCAGGACGGUGCAGUUUUCAUGGGAGGCGUGGCACCUGCUGGAAGGAAGAUAGUUGAUUCUCCUGAGUAAGGAAGGCCACGCAGAGUCCUGGUUUCAGUGUGGCCUGGUAUCCACAGUGCACCCCGUGCUGGUGGGUGACUCAGGACGGUGGCGUUGGUAUGGAAGGAAGGCCCGUGACCACAAGGGACGAUCUUGAUCUUGGGAGGUUUUUGGAGAUGGUGAAGUGCCUGUAAACAUGUGUGUCAUGGUCUCCUUCAGGCUGGUGGACACCUCAGGACGGUGGCAUGGGCAUGCAAAGAAAGACAGAGGCUGCAGGGAUGAACUUCAUCUUGGGGGAUCUCUGGAGAUGGUAGGGAACCCCUGGACACAUGUGGCAUGGGCUCCUUCUGGUGCCGGUGGAUCCCUUAUAUGGUGGACGUGAUGAGUUGGCCAGGCCCAUGUUGGUGAGGGACAAUCAUCAUCUCAUGCUAUUCUCAGAGAUGUCAGGAAGCUCCUGGACACACAUGGUGUAGGCUUCUUUGGAGGCUGUUGGAUUCCUCCUGAGUGUGAUGUUGGUGUAAAAGGCAAACCCAUAUCAUGAGGGAUGAUCAUCAUCUUGUGUGGUCCUUGGAGAUGGCAGGAAGCCCUGGACAUACAUGGUGUUCGCUCCUUCAGAGGCUGUUGGAAUCCUCCUGGAUGUGGUGUGGGCAUGGAAGGAAGGCCAGUGGAGACAAUGGAUGAUCUUGCUCUUAGAAGAUCACUGGAGGUGGCCGGGAGUCCUAGGACAUGUGUGGUGUGGGCCUCUUCAGGUGCUGGUGGUGUUGGCAUGAAAGGAAAGGAGGUAUCUUUGAGGGACAGUCUUCGCCUUGUGUGAUCCUCGGAGAUGCCACGAGGACUCUGGACACAUGGUGUGGGCUCCUUUGGAGGCUGUUGAAUCCCUUCUGAAUGUGGUGCAGGCAUAGAAGGAAGGCCAUGAGGGACAAUCUUGGUCUUGGGAGAUCCCUGGAAAUGAUAGAGAGCCCCUUGAUAUGUGUGGCAUGGGCUCCUUCAGGUGCUAGCGGAUUCCUUAGGAUGGUAGCACUGGCAUGGAAGGCAGGCCCGUGUUGGCGAGGGACAAUUGUUAUCUCAUGUGAGCUGCAGAGAUACCAGGAAGCCCCUGGACACAAUGGCAAAGGCUCCUUCGGAAGUUGUUGGAUCCCUUCUGAAUGUGGCGUUGGCAUAAAAGGCAGGCUCGUAUCAUGAGGAAUGAUUGUCAUCUCAUAUGAUCCUUGGAGAUGGCAGGAAGCCCCUGGACUCACAUGGUGUGGACUCCUUCAGAGGCUGUUGAAACCUUCCUUAAUGUGGUGUUGGCGUAAAGGCAGGCUCGUAUCAUGAGGAAUGAUUGUAAUGAUCCUUGGAGAUAGCAGGAAGCCAUCUCCACAUGGUGUGGACUCCUUCAGAGGCUGUUGAAACCUUCCUUAAUGUGGUGUUGGCAUAAAAGGCAGGCUUGUAUCAUGAGGAAUGAUUGUCAUCUCAUAUGAUCCUUGGAGAUGGCAGGAAGCCCCUGGACACACAUGGUGUGGACUCCUUCAGAGGCUGUUGAAACCUUCCUUAAUGUGGUGUUGGCGUAAAGGCAGGCUCGUAUCAUGAGGAAUGAUUGUAAUGAUCCUUGGAGAGAGCAGGAAGCCCCUGGACUCACAUGGUGUGGACUCCUUCAGAGGCUGUUGAAACCUUCCUUAAUGUAAGUGAUUCCAUCCCAAAGCACUCUGAGUUUCCUCGUUUGCAGGGAUGAAACCUGUGCUUGGAUCGAUGAUGACUUCCAUAUAUACAUUCCUUGGAAAGCUGAACAAAAUGAGUGAAAACUCUAUACCGUCAUCCUCGUCGAACUGAGGUCCA